UUUGAUUCAGGAACUCUACUGAUUGAACCUAAGCCUUAAGAAUGUACUAAGCAUCAGUAUGACUGGGAUGCUGCAACAAGACUUAACUUCUUGCGAAAAUAUGGGUUGCAUGGACCAGAAAAAUUGAAGAACCUGCACUGUAAAAUGAGCUAGCUGAGAAAAGAAUUUAUAUGACGAUUGGCACCAACGGUACUAGUGGCAGCCACUGUUUCGAAACAAAGGCCUAAGCUUUUAGAAAGAAAAAGAAAAUAAAAACGAAAUGGUUAAGUCAGAGGGAGGAGAGGAGAGCGCACCACCAACCGGGAUGAUGGCGUUGUUCAUUUUGGCCGGAGAAGAACCGGUUAUGACGCCGGAUAAGGCGGUCCUACAGGCAAAGAAGAUGACCCAAACAAGUUUUCCGUUAUGAAAUGCUGACAUGACCUGCUCAGUCUGCUUUCCGUUAUGAAAUUUUCUUAACAACAGUGAUUUAAUUGACAAAAGGAAUUUUGAAGUGAUGAAAAUAAGAAUACCUUAUUUAAGGUGACUAAUGACAGAGUUUACCCUAUUUUCCUUUAGUAAGGAACAA